AGAGUUUGAUCCUGGCUCAGGAUGAACGCUGGCGGCGUGCUUAACACAUGCAAGUCGAACGAAACACCUUAUUUGAUUUUCUUCGGAACUGAAGAUUUGGUGAUUGAGUGGCGGACGGGUGAGUAACGCGUGGGUAACCUGCCCUGUACAGGGGGAUAACAGUCAGAAAUGACUGCUAAUACCGCAUAAGACCACAGCACCGCAUGGUGCAGGGGUAAAAACUCCGGUGGUACAGGAUGGACCCGCGUCUGAUUAGCUGGUUGGUGAGGUAACGGCUCACCAAGGCGACGAUCAGUAGCCGGCUUGAGAGAGUGAACGGCCACAUUGGGACUGAGACACGGCCCAAACUCCUACGGGAGGCAGCAGUGGGGAAUAUUGCACAAUGGGGGAAACCCUGAUGCAGCAACGCCGCGUGAGUGAAGAAGUAUUUCGGUAUGUAAAGCUCUAUCAGCAGGGAAGAUAAUGACGGUACCUGACUAAGAAGCUCCGGCUAAAUACGUGCCAGCAGCCGCGGUAAUACGUAUGGAGCAAGCGUUAUCCGGAUUUACUGGGUGUAAAGGGUGCGUAGGUGGCAGUGCAAGUCAGAUGUGAAAGGCCGGGGCUCAACCCCGGAGCUGCAUUUGAAACUGCAUAGCUGGAGUACAGGAGAGGCAGGCGGAAUUCCUAGUGUAGCGGUGAAAUGCGUAGAUAUUAGGAGGAACACCAGUGGCGAAGGCGGCUUACUGGACUGUAACUGACGUUGAGGCUCGAAAGCGUGGGGAGCAAACAGGAUUAGAUACCCUGGUAGUCCACGCGGUAAACGAUGAUUGCUAGGUGUAGGUGGGUAUGGACCCAUCGGUGGCGCAGCUAACGCA
rnacentral:rRNA from 1 species